rnacentral:rRNA from 1 species
GAUGAACGCUGGCGGCGUGCCUAAUACAUGCAAGUCGAGCGAACAGAUAAGGAGCUUGCUCCUUUGACGUUAGCGGCGGACGGGUGAGUAACACGUGGGUAACCUACCUAUAAGACUGGAAUAACUCCGGGAAACCGGGGCUAAUGCCGGAUAACAUUUAGAACCGCAUGGUUCUAAAGUGAAAGAUGGUUUUGCUAUCACUUAUAGAUGGACCCGCGCCGUAUUAGCUAGCUGGUAAGGUAACGGCUUACCAAGGCAACGAUACGUAGCCGACCUGAGAGGGUGAUCGGCCACACUGGAACUGAGACACGGUCAAGACUCCUACGGGAGGCAGCAGUAGGGAAUCUUCCGCAAUGGGCGAAAGCCUGACGGAGCAACGCCGCGUGAGUGAUGAAGGUCUUCGGAUCGUAAAACUCUGUUAUUAGGGAAGAACAAAUGUGUAAGUAACUGUGCACGUAUUGACGGUACCUAAUCAGAAAGCCACGGCUAACUACGUG